rnacentral:rRNA from 1 species
AACGAACGCUGGCGGCAUGCCUAACACAUGCAAGUCGAACGAGACCUUCGGGUCUAGUGGCGCACAGGUGCGUAACGCGUGGGAAUCUGCCCUUGGGUUCGGGAUAACAGUUGGAAACGACUGCUAAUACCGGAUGAUGACUUCGGUCCAAAGAUUUAUCGCCCAGGGAUGAGCCCGCGUCGGAUUAACUAGUUGGUGAGGUAAGAGCUCACCAAGGCGACGAUCCGUAGCUGGUCUGAGAGGAUGAUCAGCCACACUGGGACUGAGACACGGCCCAGACUCCUACGGGAGGCAGCAGUGGGGAAUAUUGGACAAUGGGCGAAAGCCUGAUCCAGCAAUGCCGCGUGAGUGAUGAAGGCCUUAGGGUUGUAAAGCUCUUUUACCCGGGAUGAUAAUGACAGUACCGGGAGAAUAAGCCCCGGCUAACUCCGUG